UGACAGAGGGUGCGAGCGUUUGUGCCGGAAAGUCACUGGGCGGUAAAGGGGCGCGUAGGUGGGCGCGACAAGUCAGUUGGUGAAAGUUCGACGCUCAACGUCGAAUCGGCCACUGAUACUGUUGGGCUUGAGCACUGUAGAGGCUAAUGGAAUUCCGGGUGUAGCGGUGGAAUGCGUAGAGAUCCGGAAGAACACCGGUGGCGAAGGCGGAUCUCUGGGCCGAUACUGACGCUG
rnacentral:rRNA from 1 species